CUUGAAAAGAAGAAAACAGAUAUGGUAUCAAAUUGUACACAUAGGAAUUCAGUAAUAUAAAUAUCUUUUCCCAGUGACUUUCUGUUCAAAUUCUGGAUCAUUGCCAACUCCUACCUCUAGAGAAAUGUCAGAAGAGGACUCUUGACCAAGAGGCCGAACUGCGAACUGACUGACAAGGGAGAAGAGAAGACAGCACCUUCUCUCUGGUUUCCGGUUUCUUGAUUUCCCUGCACUCCACUUUCUGAGGGUGAUGAAGUAGAGGCUGGUGAAACUGUUGUCUGAGUUAGAGCCUGAUGGAGUGAAAGCAAUAUGCAUUCAGGAGAAAAUGCACUUUGAAUUUUGGAUUUGGAAUUGUCUGGGCUAGUGAUCUGCUGUACUAUCCUCUCUCGUGAUUCUGGGCGGUGGCAGUGAGCCAGAGCUCCCAGACAGCCACGUGAUCAUGAGGGAGAACAAGCCAUACACCAACAACCACUCUGUACACAACCAUCCUGUUUUUACUUCAUAUAUUAUCUGAGAUGUUCACCAAUUUAGUAUAACAUAAGUUUGUGUUAUAUGAUGUGGCCUAACUGCAGGCUAAUGUAAAAGGAGCAGCAUGGGCAGAAGCAGGAAGAUGAGGAGAAGCAGACAUUCUGGAAGCUGGAAGCAGCCCAUGGGGCUGGAGCACAAGAGCUUGUUCCAGAACAGGGUGCCAAGGCUGGAGGAGCAGGCCAUGCCUUGUCAUGGAAGAAGGAGGAUCUAAUGCCACUAAGGACCCUGGAUGUAGUGUGGAGCCAGAAAAGAGGUUUAGGCAAUGACCUAAGAUAAUCUGCUUUGAUAUGGGAGAAUGAUCACUUCGGUGGUGGAAUAGAGUGGUUAGGAGCCAAAGGUGAGGGACAACAGGAGCCUGCUCUGAGAGCAGGAGUGUGCUUCUAACAGCAUCAGUUACUGUCCCACUUCACAGUGUUUACAUUCUUAUAGACUUGUCUAUCC